GAUGAACGCUGGCGGCGUGCCUAAUACAUGCAAGUCGAGCGAACGGACGAGAAGCUUGCUUCUCUGAUGUUAGCGGCGGACGGGUGAGUAACACGUGGAUAACCUACCUAUAAGACUGGGAUAACUUCGGGAAACCGGAGCUAAUACCGGAUAAUAUUUUGAACCGCAUGGUCCAAAAGUGAAAGACGGUCCUGCUGUCACUUAUAGAUGGAUCCGCGCUGCAUUAGCUAGUUGGUAAGGUAACGGCUUACCAAGGCAACGAUGCAUAGCCGACCUGAGAGGGUGAUCGGCCACACUGGAACUGAGACACGGUCCAGACUCCUACGGGAGGCAGCAGUAGGGAAUAUUCCGCAAUGGGCGAAAGCCUGACGGAGCAACACCGCGUGAGUGAUGAAGGUCUUCGGGUCGUAAAGCUCUGUUAUUAGGGAAGAACAUAUGUGUAAGUAACUGUGCACAUCUUGACGGUACCUAAUCAGAAAGCAACGGCUAACUACGUG
rnacentral:rRNA from 1 species